GCUGGGGCGGCACAUCUGUUAAACGAUAACACAGGUGUCCUAAGGUCAGCUCAAUGAGAACAGAAAUCUCAUGUAGAACAAAAGGGUAAAAGCUGACUUGAUUUUGAUUUUCAGUAUGAAUACAAACUGUGAAAGCAUGGCCUAUCGAACCUUUGGGUCUGUGAAGUUUACAGCCAGAGAUGACAGAAAAGUUACCACAGGGAUAAC
rnacentral:rRNA from 1 species